AAAAUGUCGAUGGACAGGGUUUUUGUUUUUUCCAUUAAAGCGAGGCAGCACGGUGGAUUUCAUAAUAACUGGUGGCUCGGUGGGAGGUAAUGGCAGCGGUGACGAGGUGGCAAAGAGACCGGACGUGUUGCGAAAGACGCGGUAGGCCGUCGACCCUGCCGAGAGACACUGUUUUACUUCCAAGUGUACUUGAAAUACAGUCUAACGUCAUUUAUAUGGAUACAGGUUACAAGGGUGGUCGGUCGGUUGUUUUUAGGGACUCGGCUGAUUUAAUUAUUAUUUUGUUUAAAACUAUUACAAGGUUGUUUUGUUCUUUUUUUAUUUUAUUUAAGGACAUCGAUAAUUGUUUUUUUUUUUUUUUUACUUUAUUGUCGCGAUCUAGGCUAGUGCGCAAUUCCCAGCGUUGUUUCCGACGUCAUCCGGAAAUAAGCAGGAUAUUUGAUCACAGCUGUUUCCUUAUAAAACAUGACUGAGCUGAUUUAUGCCUGAUUUCCCAGCGCCGGGGCAGCGGAGGAGGGUGGGAUGGAGAGGUGUUCCUGCAGGAGGAUGUUGCGCACUUCAAUUUACCUCAGGAGUGAGUGGUCUCUACAUCCACGCAGAACUGCGCAAUCAUUUCGCUUAUGUUGUAGCUGUUGUCUUGUCUAUUAUUUGAUUUGAUUGUAUAUUUGAAUGCAGUUUAUUAAACUUGUUAUAUCCCUUUGAAGGUUAACAUUGUAAGUUGCAGUAUAAGUUCGUAGAAUACGUUGUAGAGGGAGGGAAAUUCGUUUUAACUAGUAUUCAGUUUUUAAAAAAAGGAAGCAUUUGUAAGGAAACAUUUUUUGUUGUUGUUACCUUUUCAAGAAAUUUAAAUGAUUGUGUCACUAUUGCAUCUUUCAGAGUGCGUCAUGCUGUAUCUGGUUAAUACCCUUCCCAGCCAAGCAUACUGUAUUCAAACCGUAACAUUAGUGAAGAAAUGUAAAAUAAGUAAGGACUUAAUUCAACAGUAUUUUGUUGGCUAUGGACCUAAAGUUAAAAUCAUCUGAGAUUGUUUUUCCCAUCGUGCAUUGUCAGAAAUAGAUUGCCUUCAAAUAGCUUAGUUUAAAGAAAAUCCGCUCUGGUUGAUUUUUCUUCCCCCUGUUUUGUACAGUUUGUAAAGCUUAAGUGCGUGUGCUUCAUGGGCCGAUACCUGGACUCGGCUCCAUCCAUCCAGAGGUUUCUAUGUCAUACGCACUUUUUAUUCCUGAUGUAAACAAACCCUCCAACAUGCAACACCGCUACCCAUCACAGGGGGGGAGUAUUUCUUAAGGCUUGGAUCUUUUACCGUGCAUGAAGUUAUUGGAAAGUCUUUAUUAAUGCAACCCGACAGAGGGAACAUGAAAAUGUCACAUUUAAAUCUGAACACAUUUAAUUUAUCUGACUCCAUACAGCACUGUGAUGCCAGAAACUACUAAUCUGAAGCCUAAAGGAAACAUUUGAAUCACUGUAAUAUGUUUGUCAUGAAAUAACGCCUGUGAUAUCCUCAGGACCUGACGGGGAUGAAGCUCUUCUUUUUUGUCAUGCAGUGCUGGAACACGUGCCGACCCAUCCGCAGUCUUCUGAGGGCUUACUGGAAACAAGUCCUGUGAAAUGAAGCCGUGGGCUCCAGUGGGGAAGUAGAACAUAACACGUUUCAGGUGCUAGAAGGAAGAACAUUUACAGCCAUUUGAAAAGCCAGAUGAAGAUCUAGAUGUGUUGGUGAGUCAUCACUAACUUUGUUUACCUUUUUGCUAACUCAGGAACAGAAAAGGUGUUUUCCUCCCAUCUCCCCACAGCCCCUUCAGCCGGAUUUACAUGACACAUGAUGCAUCAUCCAAUCAGGGUAUGUGGACAAUCAGAUAAGAAGCAAAGACUCCAGGUCUUAAAAUACACUCUGCCAAUGUUUGACUGAACCAAACCAGACUAUUUAUAAGACAGUCUUCUUUUUUUAAAGGAACCGCUACAUUCCUGGUGAACCUUCAAUACAACACACUAGGUAGAACAAAUGUCUUCUUUUAAUCUUCUUGUCAUUCCACAAGAUUCAUUAUUGGGUUAACUGGAUGUAUUAUUUGGAACAGAAACGGGAUCAAGCGGCAUUCUUUUGAGCAGAGCUACAGCGCGAAGCACCACGAACGGAAAGAGGAAGUACAUUUGCGGUAGGCCUCUUCGUGGUAAAACUGCCAACCUACAUGUGGGCAUUAGGAAAGCGUCACGUUAGGACCUAAACGGAGCACCUCGUGCUUAUCGCCCUUGUUGCGGACGGCGAGACAAGUGGCAUCCCUCAUUAGAACGCCGCCCGGUGGUGCUUAUGCAACCGAUCCACCGGGGCGAUGUGCCUUUAAAAGCAGUUGGCUGUCAGGUGAUCGAGGAGGCUCCGUCAGCUCAGCCUCACGGGCAGACGAGCCAGUGCGUCUCUAGCCGAGAGGAGUGCGCCAGAGAGUGAGGGGGGGGAGGGACCCAAAUACAAGGGGACAGGGGGUGGGGGGCAAAUGGGGACACAGCAGCGUCACACAGUUGGGGACAGGAAGCCACGGUGGUAGGGUCCCUUUUUACCUGCAGUCUGCUCAUGCUCACUUGCCGUGCGUGCGGGCUAGCUAGCUCCUGUGUGUUCCAUCUUGGUGAAGAAGUUGUCGUCGUGAGAGCCACAACCGUGGUGCGAAAGCACAGAGAAUUAAGUGCUGCGUCACAGUCGGUGGACGAGGAAUAGCCUGCGUGUGUGUGUGUGCGUGUACAUGCAGACAUGCGCACAUACACAUGCAUUUGUGCGGGUUCUGCUUUGUGUGUGUGUGUGUGUUAGCUUCUAGUAGCAGACUAAAGGCAGUUCUGUUGCAACAAGAUGAAAAAUGGAGAGUGCGUGUGUUUGAGAGGACAGCAGAGAGGGAGGGAGGGAGAGAGAGAGCGAGACGGGGAGAGAGACAGAGAGCGGUAAAGAGAGAGGCAGAGAGAGAUUUUGGAUUAGUUGCUACGUCACUUUUUCAUGUCAGGAGAAACGGAAGCUGAGAUAACCGAGGAGCCCACAGUCAUCGAGUUUUCUUUUUUCAACCGAAAUCGCCACAGUGGUUUCGGACAACCUCGACUUCCUCCUCCUCUUCCUCCUUCCUAGUUUUGUUUUCAUCUGCCCGUCUGGGUGUGUGCAUGUGUGUGUGCGCGGUGUGUGUGUUUGUCUGUUGUUUUUUCUAGGUUCUUUGAGGUGGUAUCGGGAGUUUCAACAUGGAUGCUGAAGAUGUGACACAGUUUCUCUAGGUCUUGGUAAGAUGUGUGCGCGUGCGUGUGUGUGUGUGUGGUCUGGGUGGGCAGAGGUGCGACAAAGGGGUUAACAUAAGAAUAUUCUGGAGGGUUCUCAAUAUCACAACGCAGCUCGGUGUGGAAUGUUUUGCUGAGACUGAUUAGAGGCAUUCAAACAUUUCUUCUUUACAUCACCUUAAGGAAUACGAAUGAUUCCAUUGGUGAAUACAAUCGUGCAUCGUGCCGUCUGACCUAUCAUUAUGAAACCGUAUUCGACGUCUAAUACACCAUUUGACGGGGGUGUGCGCAGAUGCAGCCGGGCGGACAUUACGGUAGCCUUUAACAGGAUAUAACAACAGGAUAAGUUGGUGCUUUGACUUCGGCCAAAAGGGUAACCGCAUUUACGUCACUGCGUGUGUGUGUGUCUGCUCACACUGUUGACUGCUGUUAAAGGAAAAGAGUGCCUCCAUACAUGCCUGCUUCUCCAUGCUCAGAGACCGAUUGGGAUCCAGCUGUAAGCUGACAACGGAUCAGCUCGGUGUCUGUGUUUAGUGGCACCAACACCCUCUCGCCCCCCCCCGUCCCCGUCACCUCCCCACUCCAGGGCCACUGGGAUUUGGCAAAACCAUUGUCAAUACAUUUGUUUCUGCGUAGUUGGGAGGGACGGAGAUGGUGACGCAGUCUUUUUUUUUCUUUUUUUUUCUUCGGGGGCUGGACGUCUCUUCAGCCAGUACACCGCUGGUACCGAGCCAGAGAAGGGGGCUAAACGUCACGGCUCAGGAUCAGAGAGAUGGGGGAGAGAGAGAGAGAGAGAGAGAGAGAGAGAGAGAGAGAGAGAGAGAGAGAGAGAGAGAGAGAGAGAGAGAGAGAGAGAGAGAGAGAGAGAGAGAGAGAGAGAGAGAGAGAGAGAGAGAGAGAGAGAGAGAGAGAACUUGUUUACUCUGCUCUCUCUUGGUGGCUCCGCUUUGGCUUCCAUCCAGUUCACAUGCGCUGCACUUCCUGGAGCUGCUGCAUCACAGGCCGCUAUCGUGCCAAAGCUGGAUUCUCAUUGGGUGGGAGGAGCUCCGCGAGCUGCACAGCAAAUACUUUAAUGGCUUAUUGCGAGCGGGCGGCUGAGGUUCGAACAUCUGAUUGGUUAAAACGCACUGUUCCGUCAUACGAUGACGUUGUGGUUGCAGGAACACUUUUCCAUGGAUACAUGAGUGCCACGUCUGUUUUAUAAGUGUUGAGCUGUUAAAGUAUAUUUAAUGAUAAUAAAAACAGAUUAACCAGGGGGUUAUUCUUAGAUUGUGGCAUUAGUUUCCCAGACGAGUUUGGGAAGCUAAUGAGUGAUGUCAGGAGCUCACACAGAGCAGUUUAAAUCAGUUGUCAACAUUUGGCUCAGCUGUCAAGUGGCUAUGGGAUCAAAUAACAUCAUCAUGAUCCCACAGGCAUCCAGAAAAACACAAGCUGAUGCAGACAUUUCUAUCCAGGCCUGCUGCCUCUUGUGAUGCAUUGGGCCCGUCUCAGACCUCGGUCUUACAGGAACUGUCGCUUCCCCUAAUUUUCCAUCCCAUUCCAAGAGGAAAACAACAUAAGGGCAUUUCGAUUUAGUAAGUUCACAUAGUUCUCUUAAGAGAUAGUAGCUAAAAUAUUAAUUGCCUGCAUAGAGCCUGGGAUACUCAUCAUUUUCCCAUCAGUAUUGUCUGUGUAGCCUUAAUAAGUGACGCUCGCUGGUAGCUGUGACGAGGAGCGAUUUAAAAAUCCCUCGACAAGAGAGAUGCUCUCGUUCUCCUUACAAGAAGUCCAACAUCCAAAACCUUUCUAAGCUGAUGCUGUGUGCGUGUGGCUGCAUUGCAGCCCCCAGCGUCUCUCUCGCUCCCUCUCCUCUGAAUGUGCUGAUGUGAUAACAUACUGUACUAUUGCUGCCUCUUUUUUUCACCUAUCUUAAUUUUAUUUUUUAUAAGCCGGUCGUAAAGAAGAUGAUUCUUAGUAUCAGCGCUGGAGCUGCUUUCCACUGCACCACUAUGGGGGUUGGUUAGUGUACCAGGCUCCAUACAUGAAGCAUCAGCGAUAGAAAUAUUCCAGCUUCAUGAAAGUUGAUUCAUGUUGUGCAUUUUCUAGAUGUGUUGAGCAUGACGGCUGUAAACAUGGUGUGUUGUCUCACAGCAGUUUGCUUCCUCAGCAAUUUACUGUUGCUUCUAUAUUUUAUAUAUCUGUCUGUAAAUAAGGAGCGCUGUGGACCCCUAGAGGGUUUCGCAGGGUGCUACACAGUUCAAUCCCGAUUCUGUUGGUGGCCCUUUAAAUCUUUUAUAAGCAUUACACAACAGGUCCAGUGCAACAAACAACCCCCCAAAAAAAGGAAACUGACAGGGUUGGGUUAAGCCAGCCCGGAACCAGACACCCAAAGACGGACCCGGUGUAUCGCGCACACCCUAACGCACAAACAGGUCUCGCAAUAAUAUGGCUGUACAACCAACGUAAAUUGCUAAGUGGGGGGGGGACUGGUCCUUUAUUCCACAGUGUACAGCAGUACGGGGGAAAGGAGGUGUACGCUUCGUUGAAACACUUGGCAACAAGUCGGCGAGCUGGCCGCUACCUGUCCUCGCCCCGCCCUCUCAUGCGUCAUGGCUCUCGUUGCAGGUGAUUCACUGCCACUUCCUUGCUUUCCCCCCCCCC
ensembl:lncRNA